rnacentral:rRNA from 1 species
UACGUAGGGGGCAAGCGUUGUCCGGAUUUAUUGGGCGUAAAGCGCGUGUAGGCGGCCAGGUAGGUCGGUUGUGAAAAUUGGAGGCUCAACCUCGAGACGUCGGCGGAAACCCUCUGGCUAGAGUCCGGAAGAGGAGAGUGGAAUUCCUGGUGUAGCGGUGAAAUGCGCAGAUAUCAGGAAGAACACCCGUGGCGAAGGCGGCUCUCUGGGACGGUACUGACGCUGAGACGGCGAAAGCGUGGGGAGCGAACAGG